rnacentral:misc_RNA from 1 species
AAGUCGUAACAAGGUUUCCGUAGGUGAACCUGCGGAAGGAUCAUUAACACUUUUAAUUAUUAUAUUCAUUAUAAUAUAAACCUUUUAAGCGAACAUUAAAAAUAAUAGAAUAGUAAUGCAAACAAACAAGAGUUACUUUUUGUUUUGUUUCGUUGUUAUUAUUGUAUUAUAACAUAUUAAUAAACCAUUUUAUUAAACUCACACAAAAGAAAAGAAAAUUAAAUUAAAAAUUGGAAAGAAAAUAAAGAAUGUGUCACACACAGUCUCUCUUUUCCUCCCUAUUUUUUUGUUUUUUUCUCUGUUCUUUUACUAUUACUGAAAAGUUGUAAAUACAACUCUUAACAAUGGAUAUCUCGGCUCUC